GGUGCCUGUAAUCCCAGCUACUUGGGAGGCUGAGGCAGGAGAAUCUAUUGAACCUGGGAGGUGGGGGUUGUGGUGAGCCGAGAUCGCGGCACUGCACUCCAGCCUAGGCAACAAGAGCAAAACUCCGUCUCGAACAAACAAACAAACAAAAAGUUAAACAUAGAGUUGCCAUGUGAUCUGGCAAUUCCACCUAUAAAACAUGCUAAGUGAGGGAAGCCAAACACAGAAGGCCACAUGUAUUCAGGCCAAAUGUCCAGAACAGACAGAUCUGUAGAGACAGAAAGUAGAUGAGCAGUUUCACAGGGCUGGGUGUGGGGGAAAGUCAGGGGCAUGAGGGUGACUGCUAAUGGGUGUGGAGUCUCUUUUUGGGGUAGUGGAAAUGUUCUAAAAUUGAUUGUGGUAGUGGUUUCACAACUCUCUAAACAUACCAAAAGGCACUAAGUCAUAUACUUUAAAGGGGUGAGUUGUGUGCUAUGUGGUCUAUAGCUCAAAAAAGCUGUUACCAAAAAGAAAAAAGUGCCAAGGAAGGUCCCUGCAGUUCUGUCACACACCAGCUGUGUGAUCUUUGACAGGUAACUCACCCUCUCUGUGCUCAGUUUUCUCACUGGUAAAAUGGUGAUACUAAUAGAACCAACCUUAUUGAGCUGCUGCUGUGAGGAUUAAAUGAGUUAGUAUGCAUGAAGUGCCUGGCACACAAUAGGUAUCAUGUUGUUAUAAUCUGUUUUAAUUAUCAUUAAGAUAGUUUAACAACUGGCCAGGCGCGGUGGCUCCCGCCUGUAAUCCCAGCACUUUGGGAGGCUGAGGCAGGCAGAUCACUUGAGGUCAGGAGUUCCAGACUAGGCUGGCCAACAUGGGGAAACCCCGUCUCUACCCAAAAUACAAAAAUUAGUUGUGCGUAAUGGCGCAUGCCUAUAAUCCCAGCUACUUGGGAGGCUGAGGCAGGAAAAUGGCUUGAACCCAGGAAUCGGAGGUUGCAGUGAGCUGAGAUUGCGCCACUGCACUCCAGCCUGGGUGAUAGAGUGAGACUCCAUCUCUAAACAAACAAACAAACAAAAAACACAUAGUUUAACACCUGAAGGGGAAUCUAAAGAAGAGGGUGAAAGACUGUUGAGAAUAACAAGGGCCCACGUGUUGUCAUGAAACUGCAAACAGUUCGUACCAAUUCCCACAACCCAUCACAUGCAGGCAUACCUUGUUUUAUGCGCUUUGCAGAUACUGCAUUUUUUACACGCUGAAGGUAUGCAGCGACCCUGCACUGAGCAAGUCUAUCAGUGCUGUUUUCCCAGCUGCAUGCACUCACUUUGUGUCUCCGUGUUACUUUGGUAAUUCUCACAAUGUUUCAAACUUUUUUGUAAUUAUCAUGUCUGUGAUGGUGAUCUGUGAUCAGUGAUCUUCGAUGUUGCUAUUGUCCUCUUUUUGGGGCACCAUGAAGCACGUCCGUAUAUGAAGGCGAACUUCAUAAAUGUGUGUGUUCUGACUGCUCCACCACUGAUAGCUCCCCUGUCUCUCUCUCCCUCUCCUGUGGCCUCCCUAUUCCCUGCAAUGCAAUGAUAUUGAAAUUAAGCCAAAUAAUAACUCUACAAUGGUCUUUAAGUGUUCAACUGAAAGGAAGAGUCACAUGUCUCUCACUAUUUAUUUAUUUAUUGAGGCAGGAUCUCACUCUGUCACCCAGCCUGGAGUACACUGGUGUGAUCUUGGCUCACUGAAACUUCCCCCUCUGGGGUUCAAGUGAUUCUCCUGCCUCAGCCUUCUGAGUAGCUGGCAUUACAGAUGGAAUCUAUUCCUGGUGAAGAUGAUAUAAAUAUUGUUGAAAUGACAACACAAGAUUAAGAAUAUUACAUAAUCCC
rnacentral:lncRNA from 1 species